UCCAAAUCAAAAUUAUUCGCUUUAGUCAGACAGAACAUUAAUGCAAAUUUGUAUUUAUGAAAAGUAGUUUCUUACAUGGCAGAUUUGGCCUCUUUUAUUAAUUAGGCAGAUAACUUUUUCAGUUUCAGAGAUCAGCUGCUGCUUUUCCUUUAUUUCAAUUCUUACUUUUGGUGUUGGCAGGUGUACUUUUGUGAGGUUACCAAGUUCUUAAGGAGUGUGGCACCAAUAAUUACCCAAAGACCUGGCAAGAAACUUUUAGUAUACAAGAGCACACUUCAUCAUGAUGCACAAAUGAAGUAACAGGAAUGCUCAGACACUCCAGUUUUGAUAAGAAUUCAGAUCCACUGAAGCUGGAUGAAAAUGUCUAUUUUUGUUUGAGUGCCUUUAUUAAGAGCUCAGCAGCUUCUGGGCUCUCUCAUACUGGGAAUUUAGAAGAUUUGAAUACGUCUGGGAAAACUUCUCCCUAUUCAUGCAAUGACCUUCUCCUCCUGAAAAGAAGCUGUCUCUCGUGACUAUUUUUCUAUCAGGAUUAUUGUCUGGAGAGAAAUAAUGUCAUUUGUAUUAAAAAGUAUGAAG
rnacentral:lncRNA from 1 species